AUUGAACGCUGGCGGCAGGCCUAACACAUGCAAGUCGAACGAGUGGCGGACGGGUGAGUAAUGUCUGGGAAACUGCCUGAUGGAGGGGGAUAACUACUGGAAACGGUAGCUAAUACCGCAUACCCUCGGAUGUGCCCAGAUGGGAUUAGCUAGUGGGUGGGGUAAAGGCUCACCUAGGGGACGAUCCCUAGCUGGUCUGAGAGGAUGACCAGACACACUGGAACUGAAACACGGUCCAGACGCCUACGGGAGGCAGCAGUGGGUAAUAUUGCACAAUGGGCGCAAGCCGGAUGCAGCCAUGCCGCGUGUAUGAAGAAGGCCUUCGGGUUGUAAAGUACUUGCAGCGGGGAGGCGUUACCCGCAGAAGAAGCACCGGCGAACUCCGUGCCAGCAGCCGCGGUAAUUC
rnacentral:rRNA from 1 species